GAUGAAUCAACCGUGCAAGAACAGUUCCUAUAAAUGGAUCAACACUUUCAUAACGGAUGCAGCAACAAUAUGAACGCGACGCCGUUAAACGAUACAACCGAAGAGAAUGUAAUCGACAUCGUCGAGCGAGAUGAAAACCUGGCAAAAAUUGAAAUUGCCACUUUAGCUAUUAUAUUUCUCGUAACCAUUAUUGGCAACGGUACGGUACUGUUAGCUUUAUGGACAAGAAGACGAUACGCCGGAAGGAAAAAGCUUUCAAGAAUGUAUUUUUUCAUUUUGCAUCUAAGUGUAGCCGAUUUAAUAACCGCGUUUUUAAGCGUUUUACCACAAUUAAUAUGGGAAGUAACGUUCAGAUUUCGGGGUGGAUUUAUUCUGUGCAAAUUAGUGAAAUUCGGACAAACUUUAGGACCAUAUUUAAGCUCGUAUAUCUUGGUAGCAACGGCUAUAGAUAGACAUCAAGCGAUUUGUUAUCCGUUAACUUAUUGUUCGUGGACAUCGAGGAGAUCAAAAGCUAUGGUAUGGAUUGCGUGGGGAGUUAGCUUAUCAUUUUGUAUUCCACAGAUAGAAAUAUUUACUUAUCAAGAAGUUGAAGUGGGAACUUGGGAUUGUUGGGCUACGUUUUCUGAAAAUUGGGGUGAAAGAGCUUACGUAACAUGGUAUAGCAUAUCUGUCUUCAUAGUUCCACUAAUAGUACUAAUAGUGACGUACACGUCGAUUUGUCGUGAAAUAUGGCAAAGCUCAGUCGGGGAAUUAAGUACAAGACCUAGACAAGCAUCUACUAGAUCUCCGGAAACGAGAGUCCCAUUGAUUUCAAGGGCUAAAAUAAACACCGUCAAGCAAACGAUCGCGGUCAUAGUAAUGUACGUGAUUUGUUCCACACCGUUUAUCUUUGCACUGUUAUGGGCAACAUGGGAUCCUCAUGCAGCAGAUAUCCCCUUCUUUAAAGGUCCUGAAUUCACGAUUCUAACCCUACUCUACAGUUUGAAUAGUUGUGUGAAUCCGUGGAUUUAUUUGGCUUUCAACAGGGAGUUACCUCGGUUACUUUUAAGACAUUAUACAGUGUCAAGUAAUAAUUAUAGAACUACAGCGGAUUUAUAACCUUUGUUUGUCCAAGUAUCUCUUAUUAUCAACAAUAAAAAAAUAACAGUUUUAUAUUAUCAAAGACUAUCCAGGAAGUAUCGCCUAAACCAUCAUCUUUUAUGACUACAAUCAAACGAAAAAGAACAUCCGGUAACAGCACGAGUAACUCUUCUGGUGGUUUUGAUACCGCUUCUUUACGUCCGUUAUCGAGGUGGUCAAUCUGUAACAAUGCGAG
rnacentral:misc_RNA from 1 species